CAAGCUCUUGGCCUAAAAGCAAACCUUAUAGGAGGCACCCCAAGCCUUAAAGCACAGUUGGCAGGACCCAGCAUCUGCCAGCACCUGCCUUUUAGUUGUCAUGGUAACAUGAUAGUCCCCUACCAGAGACAGCAAUCGCAUGGGGAGACCUCAAUUUCCCCAAACGGUCCUGGGCUUCCUCUCCGGAAUGCUUACUUCUGAGCUCAGCAACCAGGGACCUGAGGCUCAUCCAUUCCAGGCACCUCUGUGGGGAUGAGGGACAAAAGCCUGCAGUCCCUAUUCCUGUUCUGAUGACAAAGGGAGGGAAGGAAACAUAAACCGAGGGCCUGCAACAUGGCCCUGACAUUUUCUAAAAGCCUAUGCUAUGGAGUCACCAUCUUGUGUUCAGAUGCUGGCACCAGAGCACAGGGAGGGUUAGCAGCCUGCCUAAAAGCACACAGCGAGUUGGUGAGUGGUGCGUUUGGGACUUGAACCCAGGGCUGGCUGGCUCCAAGCCCGACACACCUUCCACCACGCUGUGGAACUCUCCUUUGGCCCCAGUCGCUUUUCUUUCCUUUGUAGGCCCCAGGCGGCUGCUGCAUUGGCAGCUGGUUGGCUAGUUGGAGGGAGACAUUCCCGAGCAGGGGCUGCAGGACAUUCUUCCCAUGCCCACUCCCGAGGGUGACCCCAACCACCAUCAAGAGCUGGCAACACCAGGACAGAGUGUGGGGGCGGGGGGAAGGGCAGGUGCUUACCAUCUGUCUGCCCUCCCCCUGGGAAAACAGAGACAGGCCGCCGCUGGCAGGGGCAGGCAGAGGACAGAGCCUGCUCUGUGAGGUCACUGCCUGCAGAGCAGCUCCAGGGCCUCCCCUGGGAGAGACAAAGAGGCAGUGGCCGUGCGUCUUCCAGAAGUUUUGUCAGAGAAGAGGAAGCGGACAGGGGAAGUUGUGUGUGCGCGUGAGUGGGGUGUCUGUGUGUGUGCAUGUGUUUGACUGUGGCAUGUGUGUGUGCACGUGUGUGUGUGUGUGUAUGCUACACACAUCUCCAUGCCCAAGCACAGCUGGGCAGCUCUUGCUCCCAUCCCUGGGCUUUAGGACAACGGAGACCACGGCCCACGGUCUCUGGAACCCAGGGAGACCACACCGCCCAGGACAUUUCCCCUGAGGUCCAGCGUUUUAUGCCUCUUACGGGAGCAACUGGUUGUCCUCCCUGACGUUCUCCACGUAGGGACUGGGGGGAGGCCGGCUGACCCCUUACAUCUCUGUCAUCUGGAAAUUUCCUCGGGCUGGUUUGGAAACAAUAUCCUCUCUUUUUCUCAGGAUAGCAAAUAACCUCCUAUGCAGGAGGGCGAAGAUCUCUCUUAAGUCUCGUGUGUGUGUGUGUGUGUGUGUGUGUGUGCGCACGUUAGUAAAAACACAAGUUUCCAAUACCAGCUUUGGAAGAAUGAAUACUUUCCCCCUCCAUUUCAAGUCCAAGAGAUCAGCCUCCUCCAUCCAACACAUCCAACCCUGAUGGGUUUGUUCGUUUCAUUUGUCUUCCCUCCCGAGCCAGGGAGGGCUCAGGAACCAGAGCGCCCCAUGCCUGCUCUGACACCCAGCCUGCAGGCAUCAGCCGGAUCCCGCUCUCACUCUACCCUAAGCCGAGUCUGCGUGAGCAAACUCACCCAUCUUUUGCACCUGAAGACUUGGCCAUAGUAACCUGACACUGACCAGUUGUUCAUGUGGCUGGAACGGUGCGGCUUGUGCUGUGUGGACCAGCAAAGGCGUGGGGUGUGUGUGUGUGUGUGUGUGUGUGUGUACGUACACAUGUGUAGAUACAACAUAAAUGGUUUCUGAUGUCAAAAGCAAACUAAUUUCAUAGUUUAAGUGUUCUAUUAUGUAAACAGUGUGCAGAGGGACCAUAUUCACUCUUGUCAUAUUAUUUGUGAUUGUAAAACAUGCAUUUGCAAUAAAUUAAGCUUUCUGGGAAGGAGGUCUUGGAGCCAAAUGACUUGUUUGGGAACAUGUGUGUGUUAUCUCGGUUCAUAUCAAGUCCAAAGCUGACUGAGAGCCUUCCCUGCCUUCCUGGCUUUGUAGGGAGGAACACAGGGACCCCUCGUUUCUUCUCAGUGCUGUAUUUUAUACUCAUGUUGACGUUUCCAUCCCCUUCUUUUUGUGCACGUUGGAAGUAGCAGUGUUCUAAAAGACGGUUUGACGUUUUUGUUGUUGUUUUAUAUAUUUUUUAAAAUGCAUCUGCUUUAUGUUUGGAAAUAAAAAUCUCUAUUUUGGUCUAUGAAA